rnacentral:rRNA from 1 species
UACGAAGGGGGCUAGCGUUGCUCGGAAUCACUGGGCGUAAAGCGCACGUAGGCGGUUUGUUAAGUCAGGGGUGAAAUCCUGGAGCUCAACUCCAGAACUGCCUUUGAUACUGGCGAUCUCGAGUCCGGGAGAGGUGAGUGGAACUGCGAGUGUAGAGGUGAAAUUCGUAGAUAUUCGCAAGAACACCAGUGGCGAAGGCGGCUCACUGGCCCGGUACUGACGCUGAGGUGCGAAAGCGUGGGGAGCGAACAGG